rnacentral:rRNA from 1 species
CCUACGGGUGGCAGCAGUAGGGAAUUUUGCGCAAUGGGGGAAACCCUGACGCAGCAACGCCGCGUGAUCGAUGAAGCCCUUCGGGGUGUAAAGAUCUGUCAGUGGGGACGAAACCUGACGGUACCCACAGAGGAAGCACCGGCUAACUCCGUGCCAGCAGCCGCGGUAAUACGGAGGAUGCGAGCGUUAUCCGGAUUUAUUGGGUUUAAAGGGUGCGUAGGCGGAUUUUUAAGUCAGCGGUAAAAUGUCCGGGCUCAACCCGGGCCGGCCGUUGAAACUGGGGAUCUUGAGUGGGCGAGAAGUAUGCGGAAUGCGUGGUGUAGCGGUGAAAUGCAUAGAUAUCACGCAGAACUCCGAUUGCGAAGGCAGCAUACCGGCGCCCGACUGACGCUGAGGCACGAAAGCGUGGGGAUCGAACAGGAUUAGAUACCCUGGUAGUC